rnacentral:rRNA from 1 species
CAAUAAGCGGAGGAAAAGAAACUAACAAGGAUUCCCCUAGUAACGGCGAGUGAACCGGGAAGAGCUCAAAUUUGAAAUCUGGCGUCCUCAGGGCGUCCGAGUUGUAAUCUAUAGAGGCGUUUUCCGUGCCGGACCGUGUCCAAGUUCCUUGGAACAGGAUAUCAAAGAGGGUGACAAUCCCGUACUUGACACGACGACCGGUGCUCUGUGAUACGUCUUCUACGAGUCGAGUUGUUUGGGAAUGCAGCUCAAAAUGGGUGGUGAGUUCCAUCUAAAGCUAAAUAUUGGCGAGAGACCGAUAGCGAACAAGUACCGUGAGGGAAAGAUGAAAAGCACUUUGGAAAGAGAGUUAAACAGUACGUGAAAUUGUUGAAAGGGAAACGAUUGAAGUCAGUCGUGACCGAGAGGCUCAGCCGGUUCUGCCGGUGUAUUCCCCUCGGUCGGGUCAACAUCAGUUUUGUCCGGUGGAUAAGGGCGGUAGGAAGGUGGCACCCUCGGGUGUGUUAUAGCCUGCCGUCGCAUACAUCGGGUGAGACUGAGGAACGCAGCUCGCCUUUAUGGCCGGGGUUCGCCCACGUCCGAGCUUAGGAUGUUGACAUAAUGGCUUUAAACGACCCGUCUUGAA